rnacentral:lncRNA from 1 species
UCCCACAAGUGGGCUUAGCUUGGGCUCUCAAUAAUUAAUUCCAUUGAGCUAGCCAUUUUACUUGAUUACUUACUAACAAAAAUAAAAUUAGGCUUCCUCUACAAAUUAGAUUGGGCCUUUAUAAUUCUUGUCCCAUACAUAAUAUGCUAGGCUAGAUUAUUAAUUUAAUCGCCCUUAAAUCAUAUUAUCUACAAGUCUCAUACUUAAUUAAUAAAUUGGGCUUGCUUAUAUAAUAUAACUUCCUUAGUCCAUUAAAUAAAUUUCUCUUGGACUCUCUAUAAAUUAAUUGGGCUAUGAUAUUAUUAUAGCCCAUUACUUCUAAUUCUAUUCCAUUCUACCCUUAUCAUUAAAUUAGAGUUUACAUGCACUCAA